rnacentral:rRNA from 1 species
AACGAACGCUGGCGGCAUGCCUAACACAUGCAAGUCGAACGAGACCUCCGGGUCUAGUGGCGCACGGGUGCGUACCGCGUGGGAACCUGCCCUUAGGUUCGGAAUACCUCCCGAAAGGGGUGCUUAUACCGGAUAAUGUUUUCGGACCAAAGAUUUAUCGCCUUUGGAUGGGCCCGCGUUGGAUUAGCUCGUUGGUAGGGUAAAAGCCUACCAAGGCGCCGAUCCAUAGCUGGUCUGAGAGGAUGAUCAGCCACACUGGGACUGAGACACGGCCCAGACUCCUACGGAAGGCAGCAGUAGGGAAUAUUGGACGAUGGGCGAAAGCCUGAUCCAGCAAUGCCGGGUGAGUGAUGAAUGCCUUAGGGUUGUAAAGCUCUUUUACCCGAGAUGAUAAUGACAGUACCGGGAGAAUAAGCUCCGGCUAACUCCGUG